CCUACGGUGGGCAGCAGUGGGGAAUAUUGGGCAAUGGGCGCAAGCCUGACCCAGCAACGCCGCGUGAAGGAAGAAGGCUUUCGGGUUGUACACUUCUUUUGUCAGGGACGAAGCAAGUGACGGUACCUGACGACUAAGCCACGGCUAACUAUGUGCAAGCAGCCGCGGUAAUACGUAGGUGGCAAGCGUUAUCCGGAUUUAUUGGUUGUAAAGGGCGUGUAGGCGGGAAUGCAAGUCAGAUGUGAAAACUAUGGGCUCAACCCAUAGCCUGCAUUUGAACCUGUAUUUCUUGAGUGCUGGAGAGGCAAUCGGAAGUCCGGGUGUAGAGGGGAAAUGCGUAGAUAUACGGAGGAACACCAGUGGCGAAGGCGGAUUGCUGGACAGUAACUGACGCUGAGGCGCGAAAGCGUGGGGAGCAAACAGGAUUAGAUACCCGAGUAGUC
rnacentral:rRNA from 1 species